rnacentral:lncRNA from 1 species
UGAGUUCUUUGAUUUCAUGGACACAGUUUACCCUUUGAUACAUGUAACGAGGUUAUUGCAGCUGCAACAAAAGCACUGGCAACAUAGAUGAGAAGUGAGUUCUUUGAUUUCAUGGAUAUAGUUUACCCUUUGAUACACGUAGCAGGGCUAUUGCAGCUAAAACAUGAUUGUGUUGAAUUCAUUAUUUUAAAUUGACCGUUGAGAAACAUUUGGUAGAGGAAAUGCUUUAUUUACGGAUGAGUUUAAGCGUUGAAGUAAAAAUACUGUUUAGGGUUUAAUGUUUAUGGUGCGAGUCAGAUUAUAUUAUAGGUUCCAACUUUUUGAACUAUAAGGUCUUCCUAGGAUUUGCAAGUAUCUUGGGCUAGGGAGAAAAUGGGAUAGUUCCCGUCUACAUGUUAAGUUUCAGUUGUAAUUCAAGGAUGACCCCUGCCUUUUAAGUGCGUGCUUUACCUGCACUCUGAUCCUUGAAGUCUUGUGUCAGGCUAAGAAAUCUACGAGAGGUUGAAUGAAGCUUGGCAGAGCAAGAGUGGAGAAGGGAAGCUGGGAAUGAGCGGAGAAAAGGAAGAAGAAGAAAGAGAGUAACCGGCAAGAGAGAGAAAAUGAAUCUUGUUAUUACUCAUGCUAAUUCGGUUACAGGAAAAUGGAAUCAUUUAUACAAUUCUGUUAUUCAUUUAAAGAAUGUAUAUAAACUGGGAAGAGCCUGCCAAAGCAUGGUCGUCCUCCAUGCCUUGCUCACGUGCGGGUUAU